rnacentral:rRNA from 1 species
AUAGCGUAUAUUAAAGUUGUUGCAGUUAAAAAGCUCGUAGUUGAACCUUGGGUCUGGCUGGCCGGUCCGCCUCACCGCGAGUACUGGUCCGGCUGGACCUUUCCUUCUGGGGAACCUCAUGGCCUUCACUGGCUGUGGGGGGAACCAGGACUUUUACCUUGAGAAAAUUAGAGUGUUCAAAGCAGGCUUAUGCUCGAAUACAUUAGCAUGGAAUAAUAAAAUAGGACGUGCGGUUCUAUUUUGUUGGUUUCUAGAGUCGCCGUAAUGAUUAAUAGGGAUAGUUGGGGGCAUUAGUAUUCAGUUGCUAGAGGUGAAAUUCUUGGAUUUACUGAAGACUAACUACUG